rnacentral:rRNA from 1 species
AGUGAACGCUGGCGGUAGGCCUAACACAUGCAAGUCGAACGAAAGCACAGUAAGAGCUUGCUCUUACGGGUGGCGAGUGGCGGGCGGGUGAGGCAUACAUCGGAAUCUACUUUUUCGUGGGGGAUAACGUAGGGAAACUUACGCUAAUACCGCAUACGACCUACGGGUGAAAUCAAUGGAGCUUGAGACCUUGCGCGACUGAAUUAGACGAUGUCGGAUUAGCUAGUUGGCGGGGUAAGGGCCCACCAAGGCGACGAUCCGUAGCUGGUCUGAGAGGAUGAUCAGCCACACUGGAACUGAGACACGGUCCAGACUCCUACGGGAGGCAGCAGUGGGGAAUAUUGGACAAUGGGCGCAAGCCUGAUCCAGCCAUACCGCGUGGGUGAAGAAGGCCUUCGGGUUGUAAAGCCCUUUUGUUGGGAAAGAAAAGCAGCAGGUUAAUACCCCGCUGUUCUGACGGUACCCAAUGAAUAAGCACCGGCUAACUUCGUG